GAUGAACGCUAGCGGCAGGCCUAAUACAUGCAAGUCGAACGGUGUCUUCGGACAUAGUGGCGCACGGGUGCGUAACACGUAUGCAACCUACCUUACAUUGGGGGAUAGCCUUUCGAAAGGGAGAUUAAUACCGCAUAAGACAGUAGCUGGGCAUCCAGCAGCUGUUAAAGAUUUAUCGAUGUAAGCUGGGCAUGCGUCCAAUUAGCUAGUUGGUGAGGUAACGGCUCACCAAGGCAAUGAUUGGUAGGGGAACUGAGAGGUCAAUCCCCCACACUGGCACUGAGAGACGGGCCAGACUCCUACGGGAGGCAGCAGUAGGGGAUAUUGGGCAAUGGACGCAAGUCUGACCCAGCCAUGCCGCGUGCAGGAUGAAGGCGUUAUGCGUUGUAAACUGCUUUUAUACAGGAAGAAACGACUCUUGCGAGAGGCAUUGACGGUACUGUAUGAAUAAGCACCGGCUAACUCCGUGCCAGCCGCCGCCGUAAUAC
rnacentral:rRNA from 1 species